rnacentral:misc_RNA from 1 species
ACAAUGAUUAUUGAAUCCCAUGCUAAAUCAGGGAAGCUUGAUAUUGCAAUGUCUAUCUUUAAUGAUAUGGAGAAGGCUGGAUUUCUACCCACCCCAUCUACCUAUUCAUGUCUUCUUGAAAUGCAUGCUGCCUCUGGACAAGUAGAUUCUGCAAUGAAGCUGUAUAACUCGAUGACUAAUGCAGGUCUAAGACCAGGCUUAAGUACGUACACUUCCCUUUUGACUCUCCUAGCUAGUAAGAAGCUUGUGGAUGUGGCUGCCA